rnacentral:rRNA from 1 species
UCUGGCACCUUCGGUGUCCGAGUUGUAAUUUGAAGAAGGUAACUUUGGAGUUGGCUCUUGUCUAUGUUCCUUGGAACAGGACGUCACAGAGGGUGAGAAUCCCGUGCGAUGAGAUGUCCAACUCUAUGUAAAGUGCUUUCGAAGAGUCGAGUUGUUUGGGAAUGCAGCUCUAAGUGGGUGGUAAAUUCCAUCUAAAGCUAAAUAUUGGCGAGAGACCGAUAGCGAACAAGUACAGUGAUGGAAAGAUGAAAAGAACUUUGAAAAGAGAGUGAAAAAGUACGUGAAAUUGUUGAAAGGGAAGGGUUUGAGAUCAGACUUGGUAUUUUGUAUGUCUUGCUUUCGGGUGGGGCCUCUGCAGUUUACUGGGCCAGCAUCGGUUUGGACGGUAGGAUAAUGACAUUGGAAUGUGGCACUACUUCGGUGGUGUGUUAUAGACUUUGUUGAUACUGCCUGUCUAGA